rfam:Lonchura striata domestica isolate white83orange57 scaffold_62, whole genome shotgun sequence.
AUUCUAAUGGUUCAUAAAAACUUUGGUCUUGUAAACCAAAGAUUGAAGAUUAUACCUCUCCUUAGAGUU